rnacentral:rRNA from 1 species
UUGGUUAAGUUAGAAAGGGCGCACGGUGGAUGCCUUGGCACUAGGAGCCGAAGAAGGACGGGACUAACACCGAUAUGCUUUGGGGAGCUGUACGUAAGCGUUGAUCCAGAGAUUUCCGAAUGGGGGAACCCACUAUCUUUAGUCGGAUAGUAUCCUUACGUGAAUACAUAGCGUGAGGAAGGCAGACCCAGGGAACUGAAACAUCUAAGUACCUGGAGGAAGAGAAAGAAAAAUCGAUUUCCUGAGUAGCGGCGAGCGAAACGGAAAGAGCCCAAACCAAGAAGCUUGCUUCUUGGGGUUGUAGGACACUCUAUACGGAGUUACAAAAGAAAGUUAUAAAUGAAGCGGUCUGGAAAGGCCCGCCAAAGACGGUAACAGCCCGGUAGUUGAAAUGGCUUUCCCUCCAGAGUGGAUCCUGAGUACGGCGGAACACGUGAAAUUCCGUCGGAAUCCGGGAGGACCAUCUCCCAAGGCUAAAUACUCCCUAGUGACCGAUAGUGAACCAGUACCGUGAGGGAAAGGUGAAAAGCACCCCGGAAGGGGAGUGAAACAGUUCCUGAAACCGUGUGCCUACAAGUAGUUAGAGCCCGUUAAUGGGUGAUAGCGUGCCUUUUGUAGAAUGAACCGGCGAGUUACGAUUUGUUGCAAGGUUAAGCGGAAAAAGCGGAGCCGUAGCGAAAGCGAGUCUGAAUAGGGCGCAUAAGUAACAGGUCGUAGACCCGAAACCAGGUGAUCUACCCAUGUCCAGGAUGAAGGUAAGGUAAUACUUACUGGAGGUCCGAACCCACGCACGUUGAAAAGUGCGGGGAUGAGGUGUGGGUAGCGGAGAAAUUCCAAUCGAACUUGGAGAUAGCUGGUUCUCUCCGAAAUAGCUUUAGGGCUAGCCUCGAGGUAAAGAGUCAUGGAGGUAGAGCACUGUUUGGACUAGGGGCCCUUCUCGGGUUACCGAAUUCAGAUAAACUCCGAAUGCCAUGUACUUAUACUCGGGAGUCAGACUGCGAGUGAUAAGAUCCGUAGUCGAAAGGGAAACAGCCCAGACCACCAGUUAAGGUCCCCAAAUAUAUGUUAAGUGGAAAAGGAUGUGGGGUUGCUUAGACAACCAGGAUGUUGGCUUAGAAGCAGCCACCAUUGAAAGAGUGCGUAAUAGCUCACUGGUCGAGUGACCCCGCGCCGAAAAUGUACCGGGGCUAAACAUAUUACCGAAACUGUGGAUGAACCUCUUUAGAGGUUCGUGGUAGGAGAGCGUUCUAAGGGCGGUGAAGUCAGACCGGAAGGACUGGUGGAGCGCUUAGAAGUGAGAAUGCCGGUAUGAGUAGCGAAAGAAGGGUGAGAAUCCCUUCCACCGAAUAUCUAAGGUUUCCUGAGGAAGGCUCGUCCGCUCAGGGUUAGUCGGGACCUAAGCCGAGGCCGAUAGGCGUAGGCGAUGGACAACAGGUAGAGAUUCCUGUACCAGUGCUAAUUGUUUAACCGAUGGGGUGACACAGAAGGAUAGGGAAUCGCACGAAUGGAAAUGUGCGUCCAAGCAGUGAGUGUGAGAAGUAGGCAA